UGGGCCACACACAGAAACAAACAAAACAAAAUUUGGUUCACCGACAAGGAAGAAGAAAACAAAAUUUGCCCCUUCGAAGAUGGGCUUUCUCACAAGAGAUAUAUGUGUAUAUAUAUAAUAUCUUCUCGAAGGAGUGCUUGUUGUCCUCUUCUUGCAUAACUGUCGGUCCUCUUCGUGCCGUAACGCUGUGAAAAUUUGGCAUCCAAAGCUCUGCUCUUGCAAAUCCUGGUGGGUUAGAAAAAGGGGAGCUCACUUGUGGAUUUGGAAGAUGGUGCGCGGACUCGCAAAAAAGUUCAAUUAGGUACUCCUGCUACUCGAUCGAUCUCAAUCUAUAGUUCCAGGUCACCGAUGAAAUAGAGGCUAAACUACCUUUGAUUAGAAUUGUCAUUUAUUUCUGAAAGAAUACUCAAGUAGGAGUCAAUAAACAUGUGUUGCAAUGUAUUCGAGACUCGACCAACAUGCAAAGAAAGGAAAGGAAGAUGGUUUGUACAUUAGUUGCGUAGCUUCUUUAGGAAAUCUGUGGGUAGUUAUUAUGGAUGCAAGGACAGGUUUUACAUCCAAAGUCCAUGAACUCUCACCCGUUUUCUUGCACAAGGAGUGGAUUUUGGAGCAGUGGGACAAGAAUUAUUACAUCACUUCACUUGCUGGUGCAUCAAAUGGCAGUGCCUUGGUGGUUUAUGUCCAAGGAUCGAAGCUCUCUUCUCCUUCCUACUUGGUGAUUAUGACUCUCUCUCUCUCUCUCGGUUCUAACUCUAGAUGAUGUGGUUAUUGUAGCCGAGAUUUACUCGUCGAUGAAGCUAUGAUCCAACAAAUCCAGAUCUCCAACCCAACACAUCCAUGUAAGUCUCUCAAUCUUCUUCUUCCUUUUCGAUUAGCCGUGUCCGAGAGAGAGGAGGCGAAUCCGACACAGAUCCCAUUCCCGCACCCGUGUCGUGUCGUGUCGACACUGGUACUUCGCCUCCAACUGCCGAGUCCAUGUAACACAGAUUUUAACAAUGUUAUGUUUCAGGAUAAUCUACUUCCUAAAAGAAAACUAGUCUCAUACCUAGAGAUGCCUCAACACAUUUUGAUGAAUUAAUUUAUGCAUGACCCAUGUUGCAAGCAUGUGUGGUAUAUCUUAUAGCGACCCCGGUCUUUUUCCCAUUUGAUUAUUGUAUCCGGACUUAGGUUCCGUAUAUUCUGUCAUUGUAUAAUUGUUGUUGUCGUCCUUUAUUUUCUCAUUUG